rnacentral:rRNA from 1 species
CACGUAGGGCGCAAGCGUUGUCCGGAAUUAUUGGGCGUAAAGAGCUCGUAGGCGGUCUGUUACGUCUGCUGUGAAAACCCAGGGCUUAACCCUGGGCUUGCAGUGGAUACGGGCAGACUAGAGGCAGGUAGGGGAGAAUGGAAUUCCCGGUGUAGCGGUGAAAUGCGCAGAUAUCGGGAGGAACACCGGUGGCGAAGGCGGCGUCCUGGACCAACACUGACACUGAUGAGCGAAAGCCAGGGGAGCAAACGGG